rnacentral:lncRNA from 1 species
GGGGUGGGCGUGGUGGCGCAUGCCUUUAAUCCCAGCACUCAGGAGGCAGAGGCAGGCAGAUUUCUGAGUUUGAGGCCAGCCUGGUCUACAAAGUAAGUUCCAGGACAGCCAGGGCUAUACAGAGAAACCCUGUCUCGAAAAACCAAAAAAAAAAAAAAAAAAAAGAAGAAGAAGAAAAACAUCUACAACUAGCUUACAAGAAAAUUAGAGCUUCCAAGAGCAGUGCUCAAUUACAUUUUUAUACUUGUGUAUACAUGCGUAUAAAAUAAAGACACUUAGACAAAGAAGCUUUGUAGUUAUUUUAAAGUUACAAUACUUAAAAACUCCACUGCAAUAAAUAGCUUGGAUGUUUCUAGUUCUGUCUCUAAGCGCAAACUACUGUUGAGAAUGACUGUAGCAAGUGGGAGUCACUGGUGUCCUGCUCAGCCUGCCAAUCAAAAUUCAUCGAUUUCUUUAACAUGGAGUCCAUGCACCGGGCCGAGCCUUAGAUCUUCUUCAUCACGUCAUAUUCUCUCUCAUUGGCCUGCUCCAGCUCCAUUUUCAUAUUGCAGCACACAAGGACAGAUCCUUGAUUCAAAUCAUGACUUAAGAGUUUGGAAUAAUGUCUGCUUUACUCCUUUUUGUUUUUUUAAAUCUAAAUCAUGGACCCUAAAGAAUACGAGCCAGCCUUGGCCUUCUCCCUCUACUGAAACAUGUAGAAACAUUUGAAACAUGUUCAUGCCUCUAGGGGGGAAAGGAAGACCAAGUACCUCAAUGCUGAAAACAGUUCUGAUCAAAAUUACGACCAACCUUGUAGGAAAUCCCACAUGGCUAUGGGUUUGUGCUGAGAUGCCCACCAACUCUACCUUUUUUAAUGUCCUGUUCUUACCCAGCCACCGCGAGGAACCCAGUUGUCUCUGGAGGAAAGAGUCCAGUGUCUGUGAGUCAGUCCACAGCUUGAGUGUUACUUGCUAAGUUAUGAAUUAGCAUUAGUGGAUUUAAAUAUUUUAAUAGUUUUUCUGACCUUUUGAAAAAUAAAUAUAUAAGUACUUCUUGUGGCUGGGUAAGAAAUACUACUUUGGACAGUUUUAUUUGUCUAUCUGCAGAUGUGAAUAAUGUAUUACAACAAAAGCAUUUUUUAUGUUUAUAAAGUAUAAUUUUUAGGCUCACUUAGAAUAUAUUUUAUUUAAUUUACAAUUCCCUUAGCAUACUAUGAAGUACAUAAACUCCUUUCAAAAUAGGAAAGAACUACCUUAUAUUUGACAUUUAUUUUCCAUGGUCUCUAUUUUUAUGUCUGCCAUGUACUGCUCAUGGUUUUGUGUUAAUGAGUACCCCAUGGUGUGUGGACUAACUACAGACCCCUAUUACAACUAAGGCUUGUAGGCUUUCAAUCAAAUUGAAUGUAUGAAGACUGAAACAAAAUCAAAACCUUAUUUUUGAACAGUUUUGAAGUUUAUACUCAGAAUUGACACCUUGCCGGCCAUGUGGAGUGCUGUGCAGUGUGUAAAUCUCUCUUUACCUUGGAUGGAUUGGUACAGUACUUUUGUAUCUCUGGGACCUACUCUUUUGUUCAGUACCUUGAAAUUCAUAUGAACUUUAUAAUCUGUAAAGUUUUUAUAGAAUAAAUAUUCAUCUGUGAAAAUUUGGUAAAUAACAUUAAUAUUUUUUAAAUAUCUAUUUAUUUAUUAUAUGUAAGUACACUGUAGCUGUCUUAGACACUCCAGAAGAGGCAUCUGAUUUCGUUACGGAUGGUUGUGAACCACCAUGUGGUUGCUGGGAUUUGAACUCAGGACCUUUGGAAGAGUAGUCGGCACUCUUAACCCCUGAGCCAUCUCACAGCCCCUACAUUAAUAUUUCUUAACACAUUAAAAAAAUUUAAAAAGAGCUGGGUGUUGUGGCACACGCCUUUAAUCCCAGCACUUGGGAGGCAGAGGCAGGCAGAUUUCUGAGUUUAAGACCUGCCUGGUCUACAAAGUGAGUUCCAGGACAGCCAUGGCUACACAGAGAAACCCUGUCUCGAAAAACCAAAACAAAAAAUAAAUAAAUAAAUAAAAAAGAAAAGGCAAAUCAAUUAUUUGAUUCAGCUACAAAUCAGAGGUGGGAAUGACAAGACUGAGUUAGCCACAACCAGGCUGACUGCAUCUGGCUUCAUAUAUAUCUCUAGUUUUUCUUUUGAUUGGGGCGGAAGUUACUCCCUAGCACAGGCUAUUUUUGAAGUAGCAACAAUCUUCCUGUCUCAGCCUUCCAUUCACAUAGUGUUUUUUCAUAGAAAAUAAUAAUGCACCAGUAUUUUCAUAUAACUGUAUAUAUUCCUUAAUAGUGCAUUAAAAAAAGCUGUUAAGUAGGUGUUUCCUACAAGAUUGGUGGCAAUAUGGGAGCUGAAUCUACAAGGAAAUUUCUGCAUAAUCCUAUUAAAAUCUUGACUACCACUGAAGGAAAAUGAGAUUUUGUAACUUGUGAUUCAUGUAAAAAAAGUUGUCUAUGUCUAAAUCCCAUGGCUUGGGGCCGAGAACAAAGCAGAACAGGCCCAGGCAUGCAUGCCAGGGCAGGGCUGUUGUUAAGACAUUCCUAAGAACAGCUUGACCGUAAAGAUGAAAAGGAAUGCAAGGGCACAAGCAGGGCUAUCUUGUCUGAGUCAACACCAUCUGGCCGGAACCUCCCCUCUGUCUAUUGCCCCUUGAUGCUGGGUAAAGUCAUACAUCAACUGGUUGUUAUGUGAACAAAGAUAAGCCCCCAGCCCACAGGAACAAAGUCCUGAUGCCCUUUUGCUGACAUGUAAUCUUUCUGUUAAUGUUUAAAUGAGCCAAUCCCAUACCUUUGUUGAAAUUCCUCGCACCCCUAUCCCUUUUUCUCCAUAAAAACUCCUAGCUCUUGAGACUCGGGGUCGACUCCCCUGCCUCCUGUGUGAGGUACGAGUCGGCCCAAAGCUCUGCCAAUAAAGCCUCGUGUGUAUUGCA